AAAGCAGGGCAGCUAGAAACAAAACCACAAGCAUGACCUGGUGACUGCCCAGGGAAAGCGUCUCGGGAGGUGGCCUUUGACUUGAGGCCCCAGUGAUGUAAAGGCUGAGGGAAGAGCAGAUGCUGAGACUCCCAGCCAGGAUGUGCAGCAAAUGCUGGAGGAACCCAAGGAAACCAAGUGGAUGGUGGUAGUGAUGAUGGAGGGAAAGAGAUGGUUUGCCGUGUCUGCUAUGCUGUCAUCUGUCAUCUCUAUGCCAGCUUUGCCCGGCUGCUUCCCCUUCAUCCUUCACAGACUCCCCAACCCCAGAACUCUGC